rnacentral:rRNA from 1 species
AAGCGUAAUAGCUCACUAGUCGAGUCGGCCUGCGCGGAAGAUGUAACGGGGCUAAAUCUAGUACCGAAGCUGCGGAUCUCGUAAGAGAUGGUAGAGGAGCGUUCUGUAAGUCUGUGAAGGUGAAUCGAGAGGUUUGCUGGAGGUAUCAGAAGUGCGAAUGCUGACAUGAGUAACGAUAAGGGGGGUGAAAAACCUCCCCGCCGGAAGAUCAAGGUUUCCUGCGCAACGCUAAUCGGCGCAGGGUAAGUCGGCCCCUAAGGCGAGGGCGAAAGCCGUAGUCGAUGGAAAGCAGGUUAAUAUUCCUGCACUUUGUUUUACUGCGAUGGAGGGACGGAGAAGGCUAAAUCAUCAGGGCGUUGGUUGUCCCUGUUUAAGGCAGUAGGCUGGAAUCUUAGGCAAAUCCGGGAUUCUAAGGCCGAGAGCUGAUGACGAGUGCCCAAGGGCACGAAGUGAUUGAUGCCAUGCUUCCAAGAAAAGCUUCUAAGCUUCAGGUAAAACAGAACCGUACUGUAAACCGACACAGGUGAUCAGGUAGAGAAUACCAAGGCGCUUGAGAGAACUCGGGUGAAGGAACUAGGCAAAAUGGUACCGUAACUUCGGGAGAAGGUACGCCGGCUUUGGUGAUGGGACUUGCUCCCUAAGCUGAGGCCGGCCGAAGUGACCAGUUGGCUGCGACUGUUUAUUAAAAACACAGCACUCUGCAAACACGAAAGUGGACGUAUAGGGUGUGACGCCUGCCCGGUGCCGGAAGGUUAAUUGAUGGGGUUAUCUUCGGAGAAGCUCUUGAUCGAAGCCCCGGUAAACGGCGGCCGUAACUAUAACGGUCCUAAGGUAGCGAAAUUCCUUGUCGGGUAAGUUCCGACCUGCACGAAUGGCGUAACGAUGGCCACACUGUCUCCACCCGAGACUCAGUGAAAUUGAAAUCGCUGUUAAGAUGCAGUGUACCCGCGGCUAGACGGAAAGACCCCGUGAACCUUUACUAUAGCUUCACACUGGACUUUGACUUUAUUUGUGUAGGAUAGCUGGGAGGCUUUGAAGCGAUGGCGCUAGCUGUUGUGGAGCCAACCUUGAAAUACCAGCCUGAUAACGUUGAGGUUCUAACCUAGGUCCGUAAUCCGGAUCGGGGACAGUGUGUGGUGGGUAGUUUGACUGGGGCGGUCUCCUCCCAAAGAGUAACGG